UAUUUCUCCAUACAAAAGAAAAUUAACAUAAUUUUAUAAACUAAAUUCUCAUAAUAGAAGCAUAAUAGAAGUAUAGUGAACUAAAUUCUCAAGGACCUAUUUGUCCUUCGAACUUUAUUUGCAAAAUGACGUCAAGGACUUAUUUGUCC